UACGAAGGGUGCAAGCGUUACUCGGAAUUACUGGGCGUAAAGCGUGCGUAGGUGGUUUUUAAGUCCGUUGUGAAAGCCCUGGGCUCAACCUGGGAAUGGCAGUGGAUACUGGAAAGCUAGAGUGCGGUAGAGGGUAGUGGAAUUCCCGGUGUAGCAGUGAAAUGCGUAGAGAUCGGGAGGAACACCAGCGGCGAAGGCGGCUACCUGGACCAGCACUGACACUGAGGCACGAAAGCGUGGGGAGCAAACAGG
rnacentral:rRNA from 1 species